rnacentral:rRNA from 1 species
ACGGAGGUAGAGCACUGAAUGUCCUAGGGGGUAUUGCACCUACCGAAGACUAUCAAACUCCGAAUGCCGUCAUCUUAUACGUGGGAGUCAGACUGUGGGUGAUAAGAUUCAUAGUCGAAAGGGCAACAGCCCAGAUCGUCAGCUAAGGUCCCUAAAUGUAAGUUAAGUGGUAAAGGAUGUGGGAUUGCACAGACAACCAGGAUGUUGG